rnacentral:rRNA from 1 species
GAUGAACGCUGGCGGCGUGCCUAAUACAUGCAAGUCGAGCGAACGGACGAGAAGCUUGCUUUUCUGAUGUUAGCGGCGGACGGGUGAGUAACACGUGGAUAACCUACCUAUAAGACUGGGAUAACUUCGGGAAACCGGAGCUAAUACCGGAUAAUAUUUUGAACCGCAUGGUUCAAAAGUGAAAGACGGUCUUGCUGUCACUUAUAGAUGGAUCCGCGCUGCAUUAGCUAGUUGGUAAGGUAACGGCUUACCAAGGCAACGAUGCAUAGCCGACCUGAGAGGGUGAUCGGCCACACUGGAACUGAGACACGGUCCAGACUCCUACGGGAGGCAGCAGUAGGGAAUCUUCCGCAAUGGGCGAAAGCCUGACGGAGCAACGCCGCGUGAGUGAUGAGGUUCUUCGGAUCGUAAAACUCUGUUAUUAGGGAAGAACAUAUGUGUAAGUAACUGUGCACAUCUUGACGGUACCUAAUCAGAAAGCCACGGCUAACUACGUG